GCGGGGUGGAGCAGUCUGGUAGCUCGUCGGGCUCAUAACCCGAAGGUCGUUGGUUCAAAUCCAGCCCCCGCAACCAG
rnacentral:tRNA from 3 species